GCUCGAGUGGCGAACGGGUGAGUAACGCGUGAGUAACCUGCCCUUGACUUUGGGAUAACUUCAGGAAACUGGGGCUAAUACCGGAUAGGAGCUCCUGCUGCAUGGUGGGGGUUGGAAAGUUUCGGCGGUUGGGGAUGGACUCGCGGCUUAUCAGCUUGUUGGUGGGGUAGUGGCUUACCAAGGCUUUGACGGGUAGCCGGCCUGAGAGGGUGACCGGCCACAUUGGGACUGAGAUACGGCCCAG
rnacentral:rRNA from 1 species